GCAGCAUAAAUGGUACGCUGCCACUUUAAGAUCAAUUUCAGCUGCUGCAUAUAAGCAGGUCUCUACCUGCCACAUGACUACUUGCGUCAUGACGUCAACUCAUUUUGCUUAGUUUGUUUGCUGAGCUGUGCUGGCCUCCAUUGCUGUGCCUCCAACUCCUGGACCAAUUUGUUCGGUUGUUUGCUGCCGGUAAGGUAAGCGCUAGCAUGGCUAGGUAACAUCCGUCUCAUGUAAACGAAGCCUUUAUGUAGUAUUCUGUUACAGCUGCGCUCCGUAGGUGAACUUGUGGAUCUGUUAAUCUGGCCGUGUGGUAAUUUACAGCCUCCUGCCGAGUCCCUGACAACUAUUCUAUUUGGAUGUACACUCGCUGCUGUUUUGCCUACGAUGAAUUGUUUUAAAGGAUUUGUAUGAACUUUCCCCCGCUGCCGGGAGCAUCGAUGGCACUACGAACAGGAUAAAAAGCAAUAUUGUAGUGCUAUUGUAUCACUGUUUUACUCGUAUUGUUUCAUUUUUUUGUCUUUCUUUUAGGGACUGAGGCUUCUGUGGUGGCGGUGGUGACCCCUGGUGGCGGUGUCUUGUCUCGUGUGUUUUGUGGAACACCCCUUUUUUUUGUGUGUAUGUUUGCCGUGUCUUUGUAGUGUCCAGGGUGAUCCCUUUUCUUCACUGGAUGUUGCCCCUUUCCUCACUACUCUCCCCCCACUGGUAAGCCUCAGUUUCCUUUGACAUUUAAACAUUUUAUAAUCAACUUUAUUAAAAAUGCAUUCACUGUUUUAACUAUUCGAUUUCAGGUUAUUGUUAAAUUAAACAACCUAUUAAAGUUUAAUAAAUUUUUUGUAGAAUUGUC